rnacentral:tRNA from 1 species
CAAAAUGUAGCUUAAUAUUAAAGCAUCUCGCUUACACCGAAACUAUGCUCGUGAAAAUCGAGUCAUUUUGA